CCUACGGGUGGCAGCAGUGGGGAAUAUUGGGCAAUGGGCGCAACCCUGACGCAGCAACGCCGCGUGAUGGAAGAAGGCCCUCGGGUUGUAAAGAUCUUUAAUCAGGGACGAAAAAUGACGCUAGCUGGAGAAUAAUCUCCGGCUAACUACGUGCCAGCAGCCGCGGUAAUACGUAGGGUGCAAGCGUUAUCCGGAUUUACUGGGUGUAAAGGGAGUGUAGGCGGGCUUGUAAGUCAGGAGUGAAAGCUUGUGGCUGAACCCCCAAACUGCGUUUGAAACUGCGGGUCUUGAGUGAAGGAGAGGAAGGCGGAAUUCCUAGUGUAGCGGUGAAAUGCGUAGAUAUUAGGAGGAACACCAGUGGCGAAGGCGGCCGGCUGGACAUUAACUGACGCUGAGGCGCGAAAGCGUGGGGAGCAAACAGGAUUAGAUACCCUGGUAGUC
rnacentral:rRNA from 1 species